CAAGUAAUUAAGUGCAUGUGGUGGAUGCCUUGGCAGUCAGAGGCGAUGAAAGACGUGAUAGCCUGCGAAAAGCUCCGGGGAGGCGGCAAAUAUCCUUUGAUCCGGAGAUGUCUGAAUGGGGGAACCCACCUACUUUAAGGUAGGUAUUGCAACAUGAAUACAUAGUGUUGCAAGGCGAACGAGGGGAAGUGAAACAUCUCAGUACCCUUAGGAAAAGAAAUCAAUUGAGAUUCCCUCAGUAGCGGCGAGCGAACGGGGAUCAGCCCAUUAAGUUAUGUGUGUUUUAGUGGAACGCUCUGGGAAGUGCGAACGUAGAGGGUGAUAUUCCCGUACACGAAAGGGCACACAUAAUGAUGACGAGUAGGGCGAGGCACGUGAAACCUUGUCUGAAUAUGGGGGGACCAUCCUCCAAGGCUAAAUACUCCUGACUGACCGAUAGUGAACCAGUACCGUGAGGGAAAGGCGAAAAGAACCCCUGUGAGGGGAGUGAAAUAGAUCCUGAAACCGCAUGCAUACAAGCAGUGGGAGCACCUUCGUGGUGUGACUGCGUACCUUUUGUAUAAUGGGUCAGCGACUUAUAUUCAGUAGCGAGGUUAACCGUAUAGGGGAGCCGUAGAGAAAUCGAGUCUUAAUAGGGCGUUUAGUUGCUGGGUAUAGACCCGAAACCAGGCGAUCUAUCCAUGAGCAGGUUGAAGGUUGGGUAACACUAACUGGAGGACCGAACCCACUGUCGUUGAAAAGCCAGGGGAUGACUUGUGGAUAGGGGUGAAAGGCUAAUCAAGCCUGGUGAUAGCUGGUUCUCCCCGAAAGCUAUUUAGGUAGCGCCUCGGACGAAUACCAUAGGGGGUAGAGCACUGUUUCGGCUAGGGGGUCAUCCCGACUUACCAAACCGAUGCAAACUCCGAAUACCUAUGAGUACUAUCCGGGAGACAGACUGCGGGUGCUAACGUCCGUAGUCAAGAGGAAAACAAUCCAGACCGCCAGCUAAGGCCCCAAAAUCAUAGUUAAGUGGGAAACGAUGUGGGAAGGCAUAGACAGCUAGGAGGUUGGCUUAGAAGCAGCCACCCUUUAAAGAAAGCGUAAUAGCUCACUAGUCGAGUCGGCCUGCGCGGAAGAUGUAACGGGGCUAAAACUAUGUGCCGAAGCUGCGGAUGUAUACUUUGUAUACGUGGUAGGGGAGCGUUCUGUAAGCCGAUGAAGGUGUGUUGAGAAGCAUGCUGGAGGUAUCAGAAGUGCGAAUGCUGACGUGAGUAACGACAAAACGGGUGAAAAACCCGUUCGCCGAAAGACCAAGGGUUCCAGUCCAACGUUAAUCGGGGCUGGGUGAGUCGACCCCUAAGGCGAGGCCGAAAGGCGUAGUCGAUGGGAAAAUGGUUAAUAUUCCAUUACUUCUGUGUAAUGCGAUGAGAGGACGGAGAAGGCUAAAUCAGCCUGGCGUUGGUUGUCCAGGUGAAAGGAUGUAGGCAUGUAUCUUAGGCAAAUCCGGGGUACUCUAUGCUGAGAUCUGAUAGCAAGCUGUACUUGUACAGCGAAGUGGUUGAUGCCAUGCUUCCAGGAAAAGUCUCUAAGCUUCAGUUACACAGGAAUCGUACCCGAAACCGACACAGGUGGUCAGGUCGAGUAGACCAAGGCGCUUGAGAGAACUCUGCUGAAGGAACUAGGCAAAAUGGUACCGUAACUUCGGGAGAAGGUACGCUGUUGUUGGUGAUGGAACUCGCUUCCUGAGCUGACGACAGCCGCAGAAACCAGGCCGCUGCAACUGUUUAUUAAAAACAUAGCACUCUGCAAACACGAAAGUGGACGUAUAGGGUGUGAUGCCUGCCCGGUGCUGGAAGGUUAAUUGAUGGGGUUAGCGUAAGCGAAGCUCUUGAUCGAAGCCCCAGUAAACGGCGGCCGUAACUAUAACGGUCCUAAGGUAGCGAAAUUCCUUGUCGGGUAAGUUCCGACCUGCACGAAUGGCAUAAUGAUGGCGGCGCUGUCUCCAGCAGAGGCUCAGUGAAAUCGAAAUCGCUGUGAAGAUGCAGUGUACCCGCGGCUAGACGGAAAGACCCCGUGAACCUUUACUGCAGCUUGACACUGAACUUUGACCUUACUUGUGUAGGAUAGGUGGGAGGCUUUGAAGCUGGAACGCUAGUUCCAGUGGAGCCGUCCUUGAAAUACCACCCUGGUAAUGUUGAGGUUCUAACUCUGUCCCGUGAUCCGGGACGAGGACCGUGUCUGGUGGGUAGUUUGACUGGGGCGGUCUCCUCCUAAAGAGUAACGGAGGAGUACGAAGGUGCGCUCAGCGUGGUCGGAAAUCACGCGUAGAGUAUAAAGGCAAAAGCGCGCUUAACUGCGAGACCCACAAGUCGAGCAGGUACGAAAGUAGGUCUUAGUGAUCCGGUGGUUCUGUAUGGAAGGGCCAUCGCUCAACGGAUAAAAGGUACUCUGGGGAUAACAGGCUGAUACCGCCCAAGAGUUCAUAUCGACGGCGGUGUUUGGCACCUCGAUGUCGGCUCAUCUCAUCCUGGGGCUGAAGCAGGUCCCAAGGGUAUGGCUGUUCGCCAUUUAAAGAGGUACGCGAGCUGGGUUUAGAACGUCGUGAGACAGUUCGGUCCCUAUCUACCGUGGGCGCUGGAAAUUUGAGAGGAUCUGCUCCUAGUACGAGAGGACCAGAGUGGACGAACCUCUGGUGUACCGGUUGUGACGCCAGUCGCAUCGCCGGGUAGCUAUGUUCGGAAGGGAUAACCGCUGAAAGCAUCUAAGCGGGAAGCCUACCUCAAGAUAAGAUUUCCCUAGGCCUUUAUGUCCUCUAAAGAGCCGUUCGAGACUAGGACGUUGAUAGGUUGGAUGUGGAAGCAUAGUGAUAUGUGAAGCUGACCAAUACUAAUUGCUCGUGAGGCUUGACUA
rnacentral:rRNA from 1 species